rnacentral:rRNA from 1 species
CCUACGGGCUGCAGUGGGGAAUAUUGCACAAUGGGCGCAAGCCUGAUGCAGCCAUGCCGCGUGUGUGAAGAAGGCCUUCGGGUUGUAAAGCACUUUCAGCGGGGAGGAAGGCGGUGAGGUUAAUAACCUCAUCGAUUGACGGUACCCGCAGAAGAAGCACCGGCUAACUCCGUGCCAGCAGCCGCGGUAAUACGGAGGGUGCAAGCGUUAAUCGGAAUUACUGGGCGUAAAGCGCACGCAGGCGGUCUGUCAAGUCGGAUGUGAAAUCCCCGGGCUCAACCUGGGAACUGCAUUCGAAACUGGCAGGCUAGAGUCUUGUAGAGGGGGGUAGAAUUCCAGGUGUAGCGGUGAAAUGCGUAGAGAUCUGGAGGAAUACCGGUGGCGAAGGCGGCCCCCUGGACAAAGACUGACGCUCAGGUGCGAAAGCGUGGGGAGCAAACAGGAUUAGAUACCCCUGUAGUC